CAGUUACAACAAGUCACAAGACAUAACAUGUAAUGAGGGGGCGGAUGGAUGGGAAAUGGGGGGAGAAGAAGAACGCGACGCCGCCCGUCCGACCAGCUGCACGGUCCCCGUGCGCUCCGCAGAUCAGAUCACAUCGCGGGGGGAAAAAAAAACGGAACAAUAAAGGCGGUGAUUUCAAGGGUGUACCGCAGCUGCUUCGUCAAGGUCUGCUCAUGGAGACAGUCCUGGCUUAUCAGUCCAUGGCCAAGAAGGAGGGCGUGAUGGUAGGGGCACCAGCUUCCAUGCGUACUUCCAUCCAGGGGAAAGGGUCCAGAUAGCGUUGUUUUGGAGGGACGGCCGCCAACAAUUUCAGACAGCCUUGAGUCCGUGGCCUGUAUCUCUUCACUGGCGCCGAUCAGACAAAUCCAAAUCCGCAAUUUCUUUACGAAGCGGGGAUUCCAACUUCUCCAAGUUGAUCUCCAUCUCACGAAGAAGCUCCAAAACCGCAUCCAUAUUGCAGUUGAGCUCAGUCACCACUUGAGUCUGAGUGUUGGACAUUCGCGC